rnacentral:rRNA from 1 species
AGCAUAAUCAUUUGCCUUUUAAUUAAAGGCUAGUAUGAAUGGACACRCGUAAGSYAAGYUGUCUCAUUAACAACCAUAAAAAUUAACCYUUGGGKRARGAGACCCAAAUUAUAUAAAAAGACGAAAAGACCCUAUGGAGCUUUACUUAAAUAGAAAACCUAAUAAAUUACAUAAAAAAAAACUUCUUUAUAAAGUUUAGUUGGGGCGACUAAGGAGCACAAAAAAUCCUCCUUUUAAUAAAAGAAAAUAACUCUUCUACAGAUCCACCUAAGUGAAUAUAAAACCAGCUACCCUAGGGAUAACAGGCUAAUCCUCCUCGAGAGCCCAAAUUGACAGGAGGGGUUGGCACCUCGAUGUUGGCUUAAGGUUCCUUCAAAGUGCAGCAGCUUUGAGAGUAGGUUUGUUCACCCUUUUAAAA